GAAGCAUUACACAUUGGAGCAAGAGCUCGCAUCACUAUGGGAGAAGAUGAGAACUCGAAAUAUUGCAAAAGAAGAAAGAUCAAGAUUGGUGAGUGAUGCUUUGAAGAAAAUGAAAGGGAAGAUCCCUGAAAUAGCAAGCUCCCAUGUUUCUUCUCGUGUUCUUCAGACUUGUGUGAAACAUUGUACCCAAGAUGAAAGGAAUGCUGUGUUCGUGGAGAUUCGACCUCAUUUUAUCACUCUUGCUACCAAUACCUAUGCAGUUCAUCUGGUGACAAAGAUGCUUGAUAAUGCAUCCAAAGAGCAGCAGGCACAAUUUAUUUCCACUCUUCAUGGGCAUGUUGCUACUCUUCUUAGGCAUAUGGUUGGUUCACUUGUUGUUGAACAUGCUUAUCAGUUG
rnacentral:misc_RNA from 1 species